GUAGGGUGCGAGCGUUAAUCGGAAUUACUGGGCGUAAAGCGUGCGCAGGCGGUUCGUCGUGUCCGAUGUGAAAGCCCCGGGCUCAACCUGGGAAUGGCAUUGGAAACUGGCGGGCUUGAGUGUGGCAGAGGGGGGUGGAAUUCCGCGUGUAGCAGUGAAAUGCGUAGAGAUGCGGAGGAACACCGAUGGCGAAGGCAGCCCCCUGGGCUGACACUGACGCUCAGGCACGAAAGCGUGGGGAGCAAACAGGAUUAGAUACCCUGGUAGUCCACGCCCUAAACGAUGAUCACUGGGUGUUGGGGGAGCGAUCUCCUAGUACCGUAGCUAACGCGUGAAGUGAUCCGCCUGGGGAGUACGGUCGCAAGAUUA
rnacentral:rRNA from 1 species